rnacentral:rRNA from 1 species
AUGGAUGAGCACGAGCCCAGCCUUGAGCUCACCCUCCGCAUGAGCUCGGCAGCUGAGGCGGAGCAGGGCGGCUUCUUCCUCUGCGUCUACUGCGACCGCAAGUUCCGCAGCUCGCAGGCGCUCGGCGGCCACCAGAACGCGCACAAGCACGAGCGCAGCCUCGCCCACCGCCGGCGGGAGAUGGCCGCCGCCACGGGUGCACACGGGGCGGCCGGAACACGCGCGCCUGCGGCGCAGGACGAGAGGCCCAGGUAUGUUUCCGCCGGCGAUUUCGUCGAGCCUUCCGCUGGGAAGGCGGGGAGGACGGAGGCAAGGGCGUGGAAGGUUGCUGCUGCUCCCGAGUACGGCUACCGCGCCGAUGAUGUGGACCUGUCGCUCAGGCUAUGA